UACGAAGGGGGCUAGCGUUGCUCGGAAUCACUGGGAGUAAAGCGCACGUAGGCGGCUUUCUAAGUCAGGGGUGAAAUCCUGGAGCUCAACUCCAGAACUGCCUUUGAUACUGGAAAGCUUGAGUUCGGGAGAGGUGAGUGGAACUGCGAGUGUAGAGGUGAAAUUCGUAGAUAUUCGCAAGAACACCAGUGGCGAAGGCGGCUCACUGGCCCGAUACUGACGCUGAGGUGCGAAAGCGUGGGGAGCAAACAGG
rnacentral:rRNA from 1 species